AGAGUUCGAUUAUGGCUCAGGACGAACGCUGGCGGCGCGCCUAACACAUGCAAGUCGAACGAGCGAGAGAGAGCUUGCUUUCUCGAGCGAGUGGCAAACGGGUGAGUAACGCGUGAGGAACCUGCCUCAAAGAGGGGGACAACAGUUGGAAACGACUGCUAAUACCGCAUAAGCCCACGACCCGGCAUCGGGUUGAGGGAAAAGGAGCAAUCCGCUUUGAGAUGGCCUCGCGUCCGAUUAGCUAGUUGGUGAGGUAACGGCCCACCAAGGCGACGAUCGGUAGCCGGACUGAGAGGUUGAACGGCCACAUUGGGACUGAGACACGGCCCAG
rnacentral:rRNA from 1 species